GACGAACGCUGGCGGCGUGCUUAACACAUGCAAGUCGAGCGGUAAGGCCCUUUCGGGGUACACGAGCGGCGAACGGGUGAGUAACACGUGGGUGACCUGCCCUCAGCUCUGGGAUAAGCCUGGGAAACCGGGCUAAUACUGGAUAUGACUCCAUGACGCAUGUUGUGGGGUGGAAAGCCUUGUGCGGCUGAGGAUGGGCCCGCGGCCUAUCAGCUUGUUGGUGGGGUGANGGCCUACCAAGGCGACGACGGGUAGCCGGCCUGAGAGGGCGACCGGCCACACUGGGACUGAGACACGGCCCAGACUCCUACGGGAGGCAGCAGUGGGGAAUCUUGCGCAAUGGGCGAAAGCCUGACGCAGCGACGCCGCGUGAGGGAUGACGGCCU
rnacentral:rRNA from 1 species